UUAUUGAGGAAGUACCUGAAGUAUCUGAAAAUGAAUCGAGCACUUCUAGUUCCAGUUUUGUGGAUGAUCCUAACGAUGUCACUUGGAAUCCUGAUAUGACUACGGAUCAAGGCUCCAGUGAGUAUGAGGAAAUGACAGACUCCGCUAAUGCUGCGAUUGCAAUGACAGCUGCUUGUCAAGGUGCUGAACCAAAGACAAUUCAUGAAGCGCUGUCAGGACCUGAAAAAGAACAUUGGAAGGAAGCAAUUGCGGAUGAGUACAAGUCAUUUGAAAAGAACAGAGCCUGGACAUUGACAACAUUGCCUGCUGGAAAGAAAGCUGUAAAAUGCAAAUGGAUUUUCAAAAAGAAACUUGGAUUGGAAGAUUUGCAACAGUCAAAUCAACCAUAGUAGAAGUAAACAUAUAGACAUUCGACAUCAUUAUGUGCGGCAAGUCGUAAGUGAUAAAAUUAUUAA